rnacentral:rRNA from 1 species
CCUACGGGUGGCAGCAGUGGGGAAUAUUGCACAAUGGGGGAAACCCUGAUGCAGCGACGCCGCGUGAGUGAAGAAGUAUUUCGGUAUGUAAAGCUCUAUCAGCAGGGAAGAAGAAAGACGGUACCUGACUAAGAAGCCCCGGCUAACUACGUGCCAGCAGCCGCGGUAAUACGUAGGGGGCAAGCGUUAUCCGGAUUUACUGGGUUUAAAGGGAGCGUAGGCGGGGAAGCAAGUCUGAAGUGAAAGCCCGGGGCUUAACCACGGGACUGCUUUGGAAACUGUUUGACUAGAGUGCUGGAGAGGUAAGUGGAAUUCGUGGUGUAGCGGUGAAAUGCGUAGAUAUUAGGAGGAACACCAGUGGCGAAGGCGGCUUACUGGACAGUAACUGACGUUGAGGCUCGAAAGCGUGGGGAGCAAACAGGAUUAGAUACCCGUGUAGUC